CCUACGGGAGACAGCAGUGGGGGAUAUUGCACAAUGGGGGAAACCCUGAUGCAGCGACGCCGCGUGGGUGAAGAAGCGCCUCGGCGCGUAAAGCCCUGUCAGCAGGGAAGAAAAUGACGGUACCUGAAGAAGAAGCCCCGGCUAACUACGUGCCAGCAGCCGCGGUAAUACGUAGGGGGCAAGCGUGAUCCGGAUUUACUGGGUGUAAAGGGGGCGCAGACGGCGAUGCAAGCCAGGAGUGAAAGCCCGGGGCCCAACCCCGGGACUGCUCUUGGAACUGCGUGGCUAGAGUGCAGGAGGGGCAGGCGGAAUUCCUAGUGUAGCGGUGAAAUGCGUAGAUAUCAGGAGGAACACCGGUGGCGAAGGCGGCCUGCUGGACUGCAACUGACGUUGAGGCCCGAAAGCGUGGGGAGCAAACAGGAUUAGAUACCCUUGUAGUC
rnacentral:rRNA from 1 species